UUGUGCUACUCGGCCCUCGGCUCUACGCCAUCCCGAGACCACACCAGCGCGGCCAACCCGCCUGCGUUGUGCUCCUCGGCCCUCGGCUCUACGCCAUCCCAAGACCACACCUGCGCGGUCACCCCGCCUGCGUUGUGCUCCUCGGCCCUCGGCUCUACGCCUCCCGAGAUCACACCUGCGCGGUCACCCCGCCUGCGUUAUGCUCCUCGGCCCUCGGCUCUACGCCUCUCGAGAUCACACCUGCGCGGUCACCCCGCCGGCGUUGUGCUCCUCGACCCUCGGCUUUACGCCUCCCGAGACCACACAUGCGCGGCCAACCCGCCUGCAUUGUGCUUCUCGACCCUCGGCUCUACGCCAUCCCGGGACCACACCUGCGCGAUCACCCCGCCUACGCUGUGCUCCUCAGCCCUCAUCGGCUCCAUCGGCCCCGAGUCUAACCCUGCUCGGCUUCCUGACUGAGUUGCGCACCUCGGCCCCAUGUUGCACGAGACACGUCCGCGCGGCUAGCCCGCCUAUGUCAUACGCCUCGGAUAUGCAUGACCAGCCCACCUGAAGUAAAAAGCCAUGCAUCAGACCCCCUGCAUGCAAGAACCGACGCAUAGCUCCUUUCGGGGGGGGCAUAUGAUAUGACAAAAAAUGGCAGACCCAGCACAGCCGAACGAGACAGAAGCAGGUAACGGUUGAAGCUCGCCCAUACCCUGCGAUCCCCCGGUCUCCCACGCAAACCCCUGAGCGACACACUGCUUGAGGCUCUCCAUACCCUGCAGCAGCUCGGCCUCCCACGCAACCCCAGCGGUAACAUCAAACCUCCUCUAUAAAUACCCCUGAGUCCUAAGCAAAAAGGGGAGGAACUCACUCAGACACAAAACACUCAGAGGCUCUUCUUCUGCCUCAUCCACAAUCCCCUCCACAUCUUUCUCUAACUUGAUCGUCGGAGGGGUCGGGCCGAGCUCCCGGCCCGACCUAUGUGCAGGUGCGAGACGGUGUCGCCUCUUCCCGAAGCUGCGGCGGAGCUGCCUCCCGACCAGAGCCGCCGACCCGAACCGCCGACCCGACCUGCCGAACCGACCUCCCGACCCGAACCACCGAGCUCGGCCGCCGGGAGACCUCAAGGAGCGCCCCCACGGAGAUCACCGCCUUCCGGACCCGAACCAAGCCGCGACGGCCCCGAGGCCACGGCUAAAAAAGUUACUUACCAGAACCAACCAUAUUGUAGUUGAUGUUUACAGUUCUUCCCAUUUGACUGUGGCAGAGCUGGAUACUUGGCUUUGGAAGCCUUCUGCUCAAGUUUUACCUUACAGUUACCUUAUGUUGUUAAUUGCCAAGAUGACAUCAUAUGCAACUAGCAUGGAGUUUCGUUUUGCAAAAUCAAACUUCAUGUCGAUCAGCAUGUCAUAUUAUGAAGUUGAACACAUGUUCUGAAGUUGUCCAUCAUGAGACAAGUCAAAAGAUGCUGAAACAAGACAUAUAAUGGGAUAGCUUUGAUCUACUCACUACCUGUUCUCAUUUUUUGUGACACAAGGGUUUUGUUUAGGUUUGGAGUUUUCUAUUUGGUUAAUGUUGGAAAACUCAUCUGUAUAUAGUCCUUGAGGCUGUAACAGCUUUUUAUUAGAUGUGGGACUGGAUGUCUGCUCCCAUUGGCCUCUACUUGUGCCAUUGGGAUGAACUGGUGGUCCCGGACAUGAAACAACCAUCAUCUUCACUUUGUCAGCUAAUUAAUUUUUUUUCAUUUAUCUGAUCAUUAAUGAUGGAACAAUUCAUAUAUAUAUAAAAUAAAAUAAAUAGUGAGUGUGGGUUGAUUGACUUCAUAAACUGUUAUUCAUGAGGCUUAAGACUGUCUUUAUCAUCAAGAUUUAUGUCAAUCUGCUUUAAGGGAUCUUUUUAAUACAGCUAGGUCCUUGACGGAAGUUCUAAGAAAGUAAUUGGAUUCAAGCAUGGAGGUUUUACAAGUUAUAUUUUCUAGGCUUUUAGAAAUGUCAAACUGGAGUAUUGUAAUUGGAUUUAAGCAUAGAGGUUUUACAAGUUAUAUUUCUAGGCUUUAGGAAUGUGAAACCGGAGUAUUG
rnacentral:lncRNA from 1 species